AGCGAACGCUGGCGGCAGGCUUAACACAUGCAAGUCGAGCGGACCUUUCGGGGUCAGCGGCGGACGGGUGCGUAACGCGUGGGAACGUGCCUUUCGGUUCGGAAUAACCCUGGGAAACUAGGGCUAAUACCGGAUACGCUCUUCUGGGGAAAGGUUUACUGCCGGAGGAUCGGCCCGCGUCUGAUUAGCUAGUUGGUAGGGUAAAGGCCUACCAAGGCGACGAUCAGUAGCUGGUCUGAGAGGAUGAUCAGCCACACUGGGACUGAGACACGGCCCAGACUCCUACGGGAGGCAGCAGUGGGGAAUAUUGGACAAUGGGCGCAAGCCUGAUCCAGCCAUGCCGCGUGAGUGAUGAAGGCCUUAGGGUUGUAAAGCUCUUUUAUCCGGGACGAUAAUGACGGUACCGGAGGAAUAAGCCCCGGCUAACUUCGUG
rnacentral:rRNA from 1 species